ensembl:misc_RNA 7SK 7SK RNA
GGAUGUGAGGGUAAUCUGGCUGUGAUAUCUGUCACCCCACUGAUCGUCAGGGUUGAUUUGGCUGAUCUGGCUGGCUAGGCGGUGUCCUCUUCCUCCCCUACCACUCCAAGUGUGUCCCUCCCAAAGCUGCGCCCUCCGGCUGGGUCAAAGAGAAUGACCUCCCCUGAUAGAGGAGAACCAUUCUUCUUGGUCAAGGGUAAAGAGUAGCUGCACUCCCCUGCUAGAACCUUCAACCAGUUCUCAGGAAAUACACAAAAUAAUACCACAUAUUUUCAAGGACAGAUACAUGUAUGAAAGGUAGAUUGGAAGAACAUACAUUAAAUAAUACAUAUGUU